rnacentral:rRNA from 1 species
AAAGGUAAGCUACUAAGAGCGAAUGGUGGAUGCCUUGACUGGUAAAGGCGAUGAAGGACGUACUAGACUGCGAUAAGCUACGGGGAGCUGUCAAGAAGCUUUGAUCCGUAGAUUUCCGAAUGGGGCAACCCAAUGUAUAGAGAUAUACAUUACCUAUAUAGGAGCGAACGAGGGGAAUUGAAACAUCUUAGUACCCUCAGGAAAAGAAAUCAAUAGAGAUUGCGUCAGUAGCGGCGAGCGAAAGCGCAAGAGGGCAAACCCAGUGCUUGCACUGGGGGUUGUAGGACUGCAAUGUGCAAGAGCUGAGUUUAGCAGAACAUUCUGGAAAGUAUAGCCAUAGAGGGUGAUAGUCCCGUAUGCGAAAAACAAAGCUUAGCUAGCAGUAUCCUGAGUAGGGCGGGACACGAGAAAUCCUGUCUGAAUCCGGGUCGACCACGAUCCAACCCUAAAUACUAAUACCAGAUCGAUAGUGCACAAGUACCGUGAGGGAAAGGUGAAAAGAACUGAGGUGAUCAGAGUGAAAUAGAACCUGAAACC